rnacentral:rRNA from 1 species
GGUUAAGCGACUAAGCGUACACGGUGGAUGCCCUGGCAGUCAGAGGCGAUGAAGGGCGUGCUAAUCUGCGAUAAGCGCCGGUAAGGUGAUAUGAACCGUUAUAACCGGCGAUACCCGAAUGGGGAAACCCAGUGUGAUUCGUCACACUAUCAUUAACUGAAUCCAUAGGUUAAUGAGGCGAACCGGGGGAACUGAAACAUCUAAGUACCCCGAGGAAAAGAAAUCAACCGAGAUUCCCCCAGUAGCGGCGAGCGAACGGGGAGGAGCCCAGAGCCUGAAUCAGCAUGUGUGUUAGUGGAAGCGUCUGGAAAGGCGCGCGAUACAGGGUGACAGCCCCGUACACAAAAGCGCAUAUGCUGUGAGCUCGAUGAGUAGGGCGGGACACGUGGUAUCCUGUCUGAAUAUGGGGGGACCAUCCUCCAAGGCUAAAUACUCCUGACUGACCGAUAGUGAACCAGUACCGUGAGGGAAAGGCGAAAAGAACCCCGGCGAGGGGAGUGAAAAAGAACCUGAAACCGUGUACGUACAAGCAGUGGGAGCCCCACCACUAAGCCAGUGGUGAACUCCACAUACGCAUCCUUUGCUGAGGAGACGGUUAACGGAGCGAAAGCGACGUUCAACCUCAAAAGAAGCAGAGGGGGCUUAGUGGUGGGGUGACUGCGUACCUUUUGUAUAAUGGGUCAGCGACUUAUAUUCUGUAGCAAGGUUAACUGUAUAGGGGAGCCGGAGGGAAACCGAGUCUUAACCGGGCGUUAAGUUGCAGGGUAUAGACCCGAAACCCGGUGAUCUAGCCAUGGGCAGGUUGAAGGUUGGGUAACACUAACUGGAGGACCGAACCGACUAAUGUUGAAAAAUUAGCGGAUGACCUGUGGCUGGGGGUGAAAGGCCAAUCAAACCGGGAGAUAGCUGGUUCUCCCCGAAAGCUAUUUAGGUAGCGCCUCGUGAAUUCAUCUCCGGGGGUAGAGCACUGUUUCGGCUAGGGGGCCAUCCCGGCUUACCAACCCGAUGCAAACUGCGAAUACCGGAGAAUGUUAUCACGGGAGACACACGGCGGGUGCUAAUGUCCGUCGUGAAGAGGGAAACAACCCAGACCGCCAGCUAAGGUCCCAAAGUCAUGGUUAAGUGGGAAACGAUGUGGGAAGGCCCAGACAGCCAGGAUGUUGGCUUAGAAGCAGCCAUCAUUUAAAGAAAGCGUAAUAGCUCACUGGUCGAGUCGGCCUGCGCGGAAGAUGUAACGGGGCUAAACCAUGCACCGAAGCUGCGGCAGCGACACCGUGUGUUGUUGGGUAGGGGAGCGUUCUGUAAGCCUGUGAAGGUGUGCUGUGAGGCAUGCUGGAGGUAUCAGAAGUGCGAAUGCUGACAUAAGUAACGAUAAAGCGGGUG